ACCAAAUGAAUUUGUUAAGAGACAUAUUAGCAUGAUGGAUGGAAGAAAUAUUAAUGCAACUCUUUUUGUUAAUCAAGAUAGAACAUGGAAUGUUGAUUUGAAGAUCAAUUUAAAUAAUCAAUCUGCACUCCGUGGUGGUUGGAGUAAAUUUUGUGCUGACAAUAGUGUGGAAUUUGGUGAUGUUUGUGUUUUUAUGCUAAACAAGUGCAAUGAAACUGUUUCAUUCCAAGUUGCUAUUUUUUCUAUUGAAAGGGAAAUUAGUGCACCCUAUUUUGAAGAUUUUACAUACAAACACAACACAUAUCAGAAGGUAAUUUAUUUUUGAAAGGGAUAUUAGUGCACCCUAUUUUGAAGGGUUGGCUUGAAUGAAGGUUGUGACAUGAAAGAGGAGAUAAUUGUCUUUUGAAGAUUGUUGAUGAGGAAAUGCUUGUAUUUGAUAUAACAAUUUCAAGAAGUUGCUACUAUUUUAGAGAUAUGUGGUUUUUUUGACACAAUUUUAGAGUUAUGUGU